rnacentral:tRNA from 1 species
CAACUCCAUCCUCUACUA